rnacentral:sRNA from 3 species
UUUCAGCAUUUAACUCAGAUGCUGAACGUGAAGGAUAACGUUGCGUCAGCAACGGCCCGAAGGGCGAGGCAAAGCCGAGUCAUCCUGCACGACCUACCA